rnacentral:tRNA from 1 species
GCCGGAGUGGCGGAAUUGGUAGACGCGCCAGCUUGAGGGGCUGGUGGGAAUUAAAUCCCGUCUGGGUUCGAGUCCCAGCUCCGGCA